UGCAAAGAAACGUUAGUAGGGGUCUUUAGGUUUGUCAAACCUUAUGUCUGUCUUUCAGGAUGGCCUGUACGCUAGAUAUAAUGAGACCUCCCAAGUAAGAUACCCUGAUCACAUCCUACAGACAGUGGGCAAAAAACUUGAUCAGAAAUUGUAUGACCAAAGCAAAAUGGAAGAUGAUGGGCACAGCUACAAACCUUGCAGAUAUGCUGAAGAAGGAGAACUAGAGCGAAAUAGCUCCUCCUACUCUCUCUCUGUUGUCAGUGAGGAAUUGCCCAGGGAUUUUUUGCAAACUCUGGGGCCAAAGUUUUCUGCUCUGGAUGAAAUCUGCCAGAAGCCAUUUCUGUCAUUCAACUAAUUUCAAAAGGCCAUGACUAUUUAUGGUGUUACAAAGGCUUUUGGAAGAAGCACUGACAAAAUUUUAAGAAAAGAACCAUCCACACUUGACAGAUUUGCAGUAUGUUUGCACCACCAGUACCUGGCCUUUUAUUCUUCUUGGCUAUAAUGUCUGCAUGUCAGCAGCCAGGAAAAUGACAUGUGUAUGACCUAGCAUGAAAAGGAAAAAAAAAAAUCUACCAUGCUAGAAAUUGAAGCCACAGUUCCAUAUGGAAAUAAGACAACUUUGAAAAGAAAAGGCAAUUACUAGCUAGACCAGGGAUACAGUCCUUUCUCCAGGAAGUGGAUUCUUUACAUCCAAGGUGGCUUUCAAACAGAUUAGCUGUAGUGCAACCACGCAGAUCUGGCUGGCUGAUCAGAUCUUUUCUUUCCAUAUAAUCUUGACAAAUCUAAGAGAAAAUGCACUUCUACUCUUAACAAACUCGCAACUUCAUAAUGUCCCGAGAGGUCGCCCACCAUCCCUGCUUUACAGCAUAAAAUAGGCACCCAUGUAGUGCGUGCGCACUUAUGCUGGCAUCUGGUGGCUGUUAGUAUUAUUACACUAUUGUAAAUAACAUUAAAUUGUCCUAAGGAAAUGCAUGGGUCUCCUCAGGCGUCAUUGACAAAGUAGCUGACAUGAUAAAGAAAGGAUGGUAUCAGAUUUCUUUAUAUGGAAACCUCAGAUGUGUUACUUUUAAAUCGUGUGGUUUGUACAUGUCUGCAUGUGUGUAAUGGCCUAUGCUCAGUUAUAGCAUGAUGGCUAUCAAUGUUACAAUACAUGAAUGAGGAAGGAAUAACUCCAGAAGACAGUAUUCUGCCAUUACAUAAGUUUUAUAAACAACAAGAGAUGGAACUAGUCAGUCUUACUACUAUUCUAUUUUUGUGCUAAAGAAAAAUGUUCCACCUAAGGCCAGCACUAGGUCUGGUAUCUAAGGCUCUGUUCUUCUGUUUCAAAGUUUAAACAAUAAAUUUUACUUUUUCUCAGAUAUUAUUAACUAA
rnacentral:lncRNA from 1 species